UUGACUGGGUCAGUCCCACCCAGGGCGGAGCUGCUCUGCGUCCUCAUAGCUGGUAAACUGAUCCUGGGGUUGGUCCCUGGGAGCUGCGCCGGCCAGUGGCCACCACGCUCCCUGGGACCCAGAGUGGACACACACAGUCCUGACCAGCGCCACGGGAGUCGGGAGAGACAGAGCAGCAGGUGGCCUCGGUGUCGCGGAACAGCCUCCCCUCGCGAAGGCAGCGCUCUCGCCACGCCGCCCGCGUGCUGGGCUUCACGGGUGGGCUGCCCUACCUGCUGCGCACACGGCGGCCUCAGGCGUGAAAUGUGUCGUCUUGUCCCCCACUUUACCACCAGUGCAUGCAGCGACAUUGGCUACACGGGGCUGGCCCCCCACCUCCCCGGGUCUCUCUCCAUGUUGGCGCAGUUUCCUAUGAGCUCCAGCCUCCCACGCCUCGGUGGCCAGCUCGCGCCUGCCAUGCGGUGCCUGUUGGCCUGGAACAGCCUCACACCCUCCCCGACGAGCUCCUAUUCAUCCCUCAUGACCCAAUUCAGACGCCUCCUCCUCAUGGAGCCUCUUGCAGUGGCCCAGCUCCGUAAGUACCCCACGAGUGAUCGCCCAGAGACUCUCUCUCUGUCCCCACAGGGGGUAAGAGCAAGGACCUCGAGCUCCCCGCAGCAAGUCACUGAACCGGGGAGGGCCUGGUGCACCUGUUGAGGUGAGGGCCCCUCACCCAGUCACGGUCUUCACUCGCCUGCCCGCCCCCCAGGCUUGGCGCUGGGGCUCCACAAAUCCCCCUCAUGUCCCAGCACCCGGCGCACAGCUGACCCGCGGGAAAAUGCUCACUAAACCAUUACUGAGUGAAGGGGUCCCCGCCCUCCGGGGUCAGGAUUGCGAUCAGGUUGCUCAGUGUCUGCUCCUCAAAGUGAAGCACGUCGCGUCCUGCACAGGCUUGCUGCUGGGCCUGCACGCCGGGGCUGCACGUGGCUGCAGCCCACCCAUGCUGCUACCCACCGCCUGUGGCAGGCGGACGGGACUGAGCCUGUCCAUGGCGUCCUUGAGGCACUGGCAUGACCGUGGAGCUGGCCCAGGAUGAGAUGCAGCACGUUCCACCCAGGGGCCAAUAUGUACAGAGGGUGUGAUAAACUUUCCUAACUUAGUUGUGCCAGUGACCCUGGCUAGCAGGAGAGGUCAUCUGAAGGUACGAGGAGGCCAGAGGCAGUCCUCGCGUGGUGACGCACCCAGGCCUGCCUGGGCCCCAGUGCUGGGCACCACCGUGGCACAUCCAGACAGGAGCAGGUCGGCCAGCCCUGUCCCCAAGGGGCAGCCCGGUCCCCUGGCCUGUCCCGAGGGGUCUAUGGCAGCCACUGACUCUUGGUCUUCAGCACGGACUAUCCGGCCAGCCUCCACUUCACUCCUCUCUGCCAACAGCGAGGCUGGGGCUGCCUAAGCCACCCGAGCCUGCUCUGCACGUCCUUAGGCAGGGAACACCCUAAGCCUCACAUUCAUAGAAGAGAAGCCGUCUCACAGAUAAGCUCACGGCGGGUGUCUGCUGGCAGCCAGCACCACGACUGUCCAGCAGUCCCAGGGCCUCCUCAGAACCCAUGUCUCAGCCUCAGCCACACCAUGCGUGUCCCCACACUGACACAUCACGUUUGUCCCACGGGCACUCAGAUGCCCUUGGCCAGCAGGGCUUUAUGACACGCGUCCUGGACCCUCUAUUGGUGAGCGACCACACCGUCACGCCGUCCCUCUGCGGGGACUGCAACCGUCGUCUGUCCGGCCUCUCCUGUAGCCCAGCUCAGGACCUCCCGUCACGAGCUCUCGGGCGCCUGUGCCCGUCGGGUCGGACACUCCCCAUCCUGGCUUCGUAUCUGCCUGUGGAACUGUCUUAUACGAUUGUCACACUCGUGUUGCUCCCCCAGACCGUAAGGCUCCCAGGGCAGAGGGGGCCGCGUCUUGCCCGCUCCUACCCGGCACGCAGCUCCCGCUUGUCCCACGCGCGGACCGGCUGGCGCCUCCCGUUUUUACGGCUGCUUGUCACUGCGCCCGUUCCCCCUCCGGCUUGAGGACCGGGACAGUGAAGCUCCCGCUGGCCCGUCGCCCUGCCCCGGCCCCACGCCCGCCCCAGCUCACGGAUGGAGGCCCCGGCUGCUCCUUCUGGGCCCCCCUAGACCCUCUGGUCAGUCGGGAGGGACAAGACGGAGACCCUCAGGUCAGGGGCCAGGGAUAGCGGGGUGUGUGCCCGCCCCACGACCCGGCCGGGGCUGCUCCGCAGCGGCGGUGUCUGUUCUAGCGAGCUGUUGGCAGGCUCAGAGCCCCACACCAGGGUGGUGACCCGGGAAGUUUUAGCAAAAGACCUCUAACAGCCGACCUCUGUGGCCACCUGCCCAGGGCAGGCUGCUCGGGCCCAGGGACCUCGUGAGGGCACCAAGCAGCUGUUUGCCAAAUUAUCGUUAUAAAAAGAGAGGCAAUCUAGGUUCCUCAGUUACUUCCUUAACUAAGACAGGUUUCAAAUACAUAAAGCCUUUUAAGUUGAGGUUCCUGACAUUUUACAAAUAAAUCUAACAUUAGUUCUAUGAAUUAGAAAAAUCUAACACCAAGAGCACUUUCUAAAAAGCCCAGAAGACCAGGGGCCAAAUGGGCUCCAGGGGAGGCAGGCCCCGUGACUGUCACAGCGGUGAGUUGAUAAGGCCAGCUGUGAUAUCGGCUGGGUGAGCCAGGCCCUGUGAAUGUCACAGUGGUGAGUUGAUACGGCCGGCUGUGACAUCAGCUGCCGGUCACAGUUUGUGAGCAUCACCUCAACAGUGUUGACAGUUGAAACCACACUAAUGAAUCACAGCCAGAGAAGCUGCAUACAGCUGUCUCCCUUUAUCCACAGUUUCACGUUCUGAGGUUUCAGCCACCUGUGGCCAACUGUAGUCCAAAAAUAUAAAAUGGAAAAUUCCAGAAAAAAACAAUUUGUAAGUUUUAAACUGUGUGCCAUUCUAAGCAGCACCAAGAAAUCUUGUGCUGUCACGCUCCUGCCCUCCCCGGGCGUGAAUCGUCCCCGCCGUAGACGCUGGCUGCCUGUUAGUCACUUAGAAGCCGCCUUGGUCAUCACACAGAAAAAACAGCAUUUGCUGUACAGGGUUUGGUGCCAUCCGCAGUUUCAGGCAGCCACUAGGGGUCUCGGAACACAGCAGGUAAGAGGGGACGGUAUGUGUUUUCCUGGAAAUAAAUCUGGCUGAAGACUGAAGGGCGGCCACCUGGGCCAGGACACCCCAACACGUUGCACCUGAGUCCCACAUGUGUGGCCGUAGCUGGGACAGGUAAAGGGGUUUUAUCUGUUACAGUUUAAGGUGCCCCCAAAUUUCAUGUGCUGGGAACAUAAUCCCCAAAUUCAUAUGUUGGUGGCAUGCAGGGGUGGGGCCUUUGGGAGGCAAUCGGGAUGAGACAAGGCCAUCAGGGUGGCCCCACAUCAUGACGCAGCAGGGACCCUCCCCAGGUGCCAGCGCUGUGCCCUUGGACUUCCCAGCCUCCUGAACCACAAGCUGAAUAAACGUCUUUUCUUUGUAAAUUA